GAUGAACGCUGGCGGCGUGCUUAACACAUGCAAGUCGAGCGAAGCAGUUAAGUUGAUUUCUUCGGAUUGAUUCUUAACUGACUGAGCGGCGGACGGGUGAGUAACGCGUGGGUGACCUGCCCCAUACCGGGGGAUAACAGCUGGAAACGGCUGCUAAUACCGCAUAAGCGCACAGAGCUGCAUGGCUCGGUGUGAAAAACUCCGGUGGUAUGGGAUGGGCCCGCGUCUGAUUAGGCAGUUGGCGGGGUAACGGCCCACCAAACCGACGAUCAGUAGCCGGCCUGAGAGGGCGACCGGCCACAUUGGGACUGAGACACGGCCCAAACUCCUACGGGAGGCAGCAGUGGGGAAUAUUGCACAAUGGGGAAAACCCUGAUGCAGCGACGCCGCGUGAGCGAAGAAGUAUUUCGGUAUGUAAAGCUCUAUCAGCAGGGAAGAUAAUGACGGUACCUGACUAAGAAGCCCCGGCUAACUACGUGCCAGCAGCCGCCGCU
rnacentral:rRNA from 1 species